AGGGAUUUAGCUCAGUGGCAUGAGCAUCUGCCUGGCAAGCACAAGGUCGUGAGUUUGAUCCCUG
rnacentral:tRNA from 1 species